UCGGAGGAUAUUUAUAUCCAGUUUUUUUCCAACUGUAUAUGAAAACGUCUUCGAAUUAUUAGGGUUCGAUAAUCGGAGGCGUUUUUUUUUUAAUAACUUUUUGUACCACCC